rnacentral:rRNA from 1 species
UACGUAGGGGGCAAGCGUUGUCCGGAUUUAUUGGGCGUAAAGAGCGUGUAGGCGGCUAGAUAGGUCCGUUGUGAAAACUCGAGGCUCAACCUCGAGACGUCGAUGGAAACCAUCUAGCUAGAGUCCGGAAGAGGAGAGUGGAAUUCCUGGUGUAGCGGUGAAAUGCGCAGAUAUCAGGAGGAACACCUAUUGCGAAGGCAGCUCGCUGGGACGUAACUGACGCUGAGACGCGAAAGCGUGGGGAGCAAACAGG